CUCUUGGAAGUUCUGGGAAAGAUCGGCAACGAGGCCGAGGAGGAAGACCUGAAGCAGAUGGCAAAAUCCCUCACCGGGUUCAUCGUGGGAAAGACGAAGAAGCCCGCAGCAAAGAGGCCUCCUGCGCCCAAGCA
rnacentral:ribozyme from 1 species